UCUCUGGUGUCUCAGAUGGUAAAGAAUCCGCCUGCAAUGCAAAAGACCCAGGUUCAAUCCCUGGUCAGGAAG
rnacentral:tRNA from 1 species